AGGAACGCUAGCUACAGGCUUAACACAUGCAAGUCGAGGGGCAGCAUGGUCUUAGCUUGCUAAGGCCGAUGGCGACCGGCGCACGGGUGAGUAACACGUAUCCGACCUGCCGUCUACUCUUGGACAGCCUUCUGAAAGGAAGAUUAAUACAAGAUGGCAUCAUGAGUCCGCAUGUUCACAUGAUUAAAGGUAUUCCGGUAGACGAUGGGGAUGCGUUCCAUUAGAUAGUAGGCGGGGUAACGGCCCACCUAGUCUUCGAUGGAUAGGGGUUCUGAGAGGAAGGUCCCCCACAUUGGAACUGAGACACGGUCCAAACUCCUACGGGAGGCAGCAGUGAGGAAUAUUGGUCAAUGGGCGAGAGCCUGAACCAGCCAAGUAGCGUGAAGGAUGACUGCCCUAUGGGUUGUAAACUUCUUUUAUAAAGGAAUAAAGUCGGGUAUGGAUACCCGUUUGCAUGUACUUUAUGAAUAAGGAUCGGCUAACUCCGUGCCAGCAGCCGCGGUAAUACGGAGGAUCCGAGCGUUAUCCGGAUUUAUUGGGUUUAAAGGGAGCGUACAUGGAUGUUUAAGUCAGUUGUGAAAGUUUGCGGCUCAACCGUAAAAUUGCAGUGAAUACUGGAUAUCUUGAGUGCAGUUGAGGCAGGCGGAAUUCGUGGUGUAGCGGUGAAAUGCUUAGAUAUCACGAAGAACUCCGAUUGCGAAGGCAGCCUGCUAAGCUGCAACUGACAUUGAGGCUCGAAAGUGUGGGUAUCAAACAGGAUUAGAUACCCUGGUAGUCCACACGGUAAACGAUGAAUACUCGCUGUUUGCGAUAUACUGCAAGCGGCCAAGCGAAAGCGUUAAGUAUUCCACCUGGGGAGUACGCCGGCAACGGUGAAACUCAAAGGAAUUGACGGGGGCCCGCACAAGCGGAGGAACAUGUGGUUUAAUUCGAUGAUACGCGAGGAACCUUACCCGGGCUUAAAUUGCAGAUGAAUUACGGUGAAAGCCGUAAGCCGCAAGGCAUCUGUGAAGGUGCUGCAUGGUUGUCGUCAGCUCGUGCCGUGAGGUGUCGGCUUAAGUGCCAUAACGAGCGCAACCCUUGUUGUCAGUUACUAACAGGUUCCGCUGAGGACUCUGACAAGACUGCCAUCGUAAGAUGUGAGGAAGGUGGGGAUGACGUCAAAUCAGCACGGCCCUUACGUCCGGGGCUACACACGUGUUACAAUGGGGGGUACAGAGGGCCGCUACCACGCGAGUGGAUGCCAAUCCCCAAAACCUCUCUCAGUUCGGACUGGAGUCCGCAACCCGACUCCACGAAGCUGGAUUCGCUAGUAAUCGCGCAUCAGCCACGGCGCGGUGAAUACGUUCCCGGGCCUUGUACACACCGCCCGUCAAGCCAUGGGAGCCGGGGGUACCAGAAGUGCGUAACCGCGAGGAGCGCCCUAGGGUA
rnacentral:rRNA from 1 species